GACGAACGCUGGCGGCGUGCUUAACACAUGCAAGUCGAACGGAAAGGCCCUGCUUUUGUGGGGUGCUCGAGUGGCGAACGGGUGAGUAACACGUGAGUAACCUGCACUUGACUUUGGGAUAACUCCAGGAAACUGGGGCUAAUACCGGAUAGGAGCUCCUGAUGCAUGGUGGGGGUUGGAAAGUUUCGGCGGUUGGGGAUGGACUCGCGGCUUAUCAGCUUGUUGGUGGGGUAGUGGCUUACCAAGGCUUUGACGGGUAGCCGGCCUGAGAGGGUGACCGGCCACAUUGGGACUGAGAUACGGCCCAGACUCCUACGGGAGGCAGCAGUGGAGAAUAUUGCACAAUGGGCGGAAGCCUGAUGCAGCAACGCCGCGUGCGGGAUGACGGCCUUCGGGUUGUAAACCGCUUUCGCCUGUGACGAAGCGUGAGUGACGGUAAUGGGUAAAGAAGCACCGGCUAACUACGUG
rnacentral:rRNA from 1 species